rnacentral:rRNA from 1 species
AUGCGUCCUUUCAAUCCAACAAUACUCCUUGGGAGCUUAGCUGUGCAACUCGGAGGUAAAAAUGAGACAGAUUUAAGGAAAUGUUUAGAAGGAAGAAGAUAUUUGCUUGUUCUUGAUGAUCUGUGGUCAAUAGUAGAGUGGGAUGCUAUAAAAGAACAUUUGCCAGAAACGGCAGCAAGCUGCAUAAUAAUCACAACGAGGGAUGAGAAUAUUGCCAAGCACUGCUCAAAGGAUGAUAUAAAUAUAUACAAGCUGAACCAUCUGGUCCCUGAUGAUGCAUGUACCCUCUUCACCAAAAAGGUAUUUAAGGAGGUCGUAAGUUUGGAUGAGCGAUAUCCAGAGUUGGUUGAACCAACAAAACUGAUAUUGAAGAAGUGUAGAGGGCUUCCCCUUGCACUAGUCAUCAUAGGUGGCUUCUUAGCAAACCAACCAAAAACUGCUUUUGAAUGGAGAAAAAUGAAUGAGCAUAUCAGUGUUGAGUUGGAGAUGAAUCCAGAACUCGAGACCAUAAAAGCAAUCCUUAUGAAAAGCUAUGAUGGUUUACCCUAUUACCUCAAGGCUUGUUUCUUGUAUCUGGCCAUCUUUCCUGAAGACCAGCAGAUUGCACGGACAUGCUUAGUGCGUCGUUGGAUUGCGGAGAGUUACUCAAGUGAGGUACGUGGCAAGUCUGUGGAGGAGGUAUUGGACUCUUACUUCAUGGAACUCAUAAGCAGGAGCAUGAUCCUGCCAUCUCAACAGUCAAUUCAUAGUAGGAAAGGAAUUGACUCCUGCCACGUCCAUGAUCUCAUUCGUGAAAUUGCCAUCUCAAAGUCUAUGGAGGAAAAUCUUGUUUUCACACUGGAGGAAGGGUGCAGCUUAAACAACCAAGGCACAGUGCGUCAUCUUGCUAUAAGUAGCAACUGGAAAGGUGAUAAGUGUGCUUUUGAGAAUAUACUAGACUUGUCGCGCCUACGAUCAUUGACAGUGUUUGGAAAUUGGAGGCAGUUUUACAUUUCAGAUAAGAUGAGGUUGCUCCGAGUGCUGGAUUUGGAAGGCAAUUGGGGUUUAUUCAAUUAUCAUCUUGAGCAUAUUGGGAAGCUUGUACAUCUUAGAUAUCUUUCUCUAAGGGGACAUGUUCGUAUACAUCACCUGCCAAAUUCGUUGGGGAACCUGAGACAACUCCAGACACUAGAUAUUUCAGGUACAUGUAUAAUAAAGCUACCAAGGGCCAUCAUCAAACUUGUGAAGAUGCAAUGCAUUCUUGCUAGUGGCAUACAAAAAAUUGCAGGUGGUGUUGAAGUGCCAAGAGAGAUUUGGAAACUGAAGGCCCUACACACACUGCGUGUUGUGGACAUCUCAAGUGGGAAGGCUGCUCUGGAAGAUAUAAAAAGGUUGACCCGGUUGCGCAAGUUAGGAUUGAUAGGCAUCAACAAGAGAAAUGGUCAGGAAUCGUGUUUAGCAAUUGCUUGUCUCAGCAGCCUGGAGUCAUUGUCGCUGCAAUCAGAUGGAGAGACAGGUUUAUCAGGCUGCUUGGAUGGUCUGUCAUCACCUCCAGAAAAUCUGCAGAGCCUCAAGUUGAUAGGCAGCCUGGUUGAGCUGCCGGAGUGGAUCAAGGGCGUCAAAAAUCUCGUGAAGCUGAAGCUAGUGUGGUCGAGUAUAUCGGAGCAUGAUGCGGCCAUACAAGUCCUUGAGAACCUACCAAACCUGGCCACCCUACGUCUGUUGAAUGACUCAUUCGUUGGUGAAGAGGUCAGUUUCAGUUUCCAUCGGGAGUCAUUCCCGAGCUUGAAGGUGCUGGAGCUGAGUUGCAUAAGCAACCUCAAGUCGGUGGGAUUUGAAGAAGGAGCAGCCCCUAAGCUUGAGUUGCUGCAGUAUUCUAAACUGAGGAGCAGUCACAGUGUUGGGUUAUUCUGUGGAUUACCACAUCUGCCAAGGCUCAAGGAAUUUAUGCUGGAUAGGGGGGACUGGCAUGAUAUCGAGUUGGUGAAGUACCUGCGAGGCCAGCUGGCAGAGAACCGAAACAGGCCCGUUCUGAAGAGGUGGGACGAAAAGUAG